GGGUUGUGAGGUUAAGCGACUAAGCGUACACGGUGGAUGCCCUGGCAGUCAGAGGCGAUGAAGGACGUGCUAAUCUGCGAUAAGCGUCGGUGAGGUGAUAUGAACCGUUAUAACCGGCGAUUUCCGAAUGGGGAAACCCAGUGUGUUUCGACACACUAUCAUUAACUGAAUCCAUAGGUUAAUGAGGCGAACCGGGGGAACUGAAACAUCUAAGUACCCCGAGGAAAAGAAAUCAACCGAGAUUCCCCCAGUAGCGGCGAGCGAACGGGGAGGAGCCCAGAGCCUGAAUCAGUGUGUGUGUUAGUGGAAGCGUCUGGAAAGGCGUGCGAUACAGGGUGACAGCCCCGUACACAAAAAUGCACAUAUUGUGAGCUCGAUGAGUAGGGCGGGACACGUGGUAUCCUGUCUGAAUAUGGGGGGACCAUCCUCCAAGGCUAAAUACUCCUGACUGACCGAUAGUGAACCAGUACCGUGAGGGAAAGGCGAAAAGAACCCCGGCGAGGGGAGUGAAAAAGAACCUGAAACCGUGUACGUACAAGCAGUGGGAGCCUCUUAAUGGGGUGACUGCGUACCUUUUGUAUAAUGGGUCAGCGACUUAUAUUCUGUAGCAAGGUUAACCGAAUAGGGGAGCCGAAGGGAAACCGAGUCUUAACUGGGCGUUAAGUUGCAGGGUAUAGACCCGAAACCCGGUGAUCUAGCCAUGGGCAGGUUGAAGGUUGGGUAACACUAACUGGAGGACCGAACCGACUAAUGUUGAAAAAUUAGCGGAUGACUUGUGGCUGGGGGUGAAAGGCCAAUCAAACCGGGAGAUAGCUGGUUCUCCCCGAAAGCUAUUUAGGUAGCGCCUCGUGAAUUCAUCUCCGGGGGUAGAGCACUGUUUCGGCAAGGGGGUCAUCCCGACUUACCAACCCGAUGCAAACUGCGAAUACCGGAGAAUGUUAUCACGGGAGACACACGGCGGGUGCUAACGUCCGUCGUGAAGAGGGAAACAACCCAGACCGCCAGCUAAGGUCCCAAAGUCAUGGUUAAGUGGGAAACGAUGUGGGAAGGCCCAGACAGCCAGGAUGUUGGCUUAGAAGCAGCCAUCAUUUAAAGAAAGCGUAAUAGCUCACUGGUCGAGUCGGCCUGCGCGGAAGAUGUAACGGGGCUAAACCAUGCACCGAAGCUGCGGCAGCGACACUAUGUGUUGUUGGGUAGGGGAGCGUUCUGUAAGCCUGUGAAGGUGGCCUGUGAGGGUUGCUGGAGGUAUCAGAAGUGCGAAUGCUGACAUAAGUAACGAUAAAGCGGGUGAAAAGCCCGCUCGCCGGAAGACCAAGGGUUCCUGUCCAACGUUAAUCGGGGCAGGGUGAGUCGACCCCUAAGGCGAGGCCGAAAGGCGUAGUCGAUGGGAAACAGGUUAAUAUUCCUGUACUUGGUGUUACUGCGAAGGGGGGACGGAGAAGGCUAUGUUGGCCGGGCGACGGUUGUCCCGGUUUAAGCGUGUAGGCUGGUUUUCCAGGCAAAUCCGGAAAACCAAGGCUGAGGCGUGAUGACGAGGCACUACGGUGCUGAAGCGACAAAUGCCCUGCUUCCAGGAAAAGCCUCUAAGCAUCAGGUAACAUCAAAUCGUACCCCAAACCGACACAGGUGGUCAGGUAGAGAAUACCAAGGCGCUUGAGAGAACUCGGGUGAAGGAACUAGGCAAAAUGGUGCCGUAACUUCGGGAGAAGGCACGCUGAUAUGUAGGUGAAGCGACUUGCUCGUGGAGCUGAAAUCAGUCGAAGAUACCAGCUGGCUGCAACUGUUUAUUAAAAACACAGCACUGUGCAAACACGAAAGUGGACGUAUACGGUGUGACGCCUGCCCGGUGCCGGAAGGUUAAUUGAUGGGGUUAGCGGCAACGCGAAGCUCUUGAUCGAAGCCCCGGUAAACGGCGGCCGUAACUAUAACGGUCCUAAGGUAGCGAAAUUCCUUGUCGGGUAAGUUCCGACCUGCACGAAUGGCGUAAUGAUGGCCAGGCUGUCUCCACCCGAGACUCAGUGAAAUUGAACUCGCUGUGAAGAUGCAGUGUACCCGCGGCAAGACGGAAAGACCCCGUGAACCUUUACUAUAGCUUGACACUGAACAUUGAGCCUUGAUGUGUAGGAUAGGUGGGAGGCUUUUGAAGUGUGGACGCCAGUCUGCAUGGAGCCGACCUUGAAAUACCACCCUUUAAUGUUUGAUGUUCUAACGUUGGCCCGUAAUCCGGGUUGCGGACAGUGUCUGGUGGGUAGUUUGACUGGGGCGGUCUCCUCCUAAAGAGUAACGGAGGAGCACGAAGGUUGGCUAAUCCUGGUCGGACAUCAGGAGGUUAGUGCAAUGGCAUAAGCCAGCUUGACUGCGAGCGUGACGGCGCGAGCAGGUGCGAAAGCAGGUCAUAGUGAUCCGGUGGUUCUGAAUGGAAGGGCCAUCGCUCAACGGAUAAAAGGUACUCCGGGGAUAACAGGCUGAUACCGCCCAAGAGUUCAUAUCGACGGCGGUGUUUGGCACCUCGAUGUCGGCUCAUCACAUCCUGGGGCUGAAGUAGGUCCCAAGGGUAUGGCUGUUCGCCAUUUAAAGUGGUACGCGAGCUGGGUUUAGAACGUCGUGAGACAGAUUUAAAGAAAGCGUAAUAGCUCACUGGUCGAGUCGGCCUGCGCGGAAGAUGUAACGGGGCUAAACCAUGCACCGAAGCUGCGGCAGCGACACUAUGUGUUGUUGGGUAGGGGAGCGUUCUGUAAGCCUGUGAAGGUGGCCUGUGAGGGUUGCUGGAGGUAUCAGAAGUGCGAAUGCUGACAUAAGUAACGAUAAAGCGGGUGAAAAGCCCGCUCGCCGGAAGACCAAGGGUUCCUGUCCAACGUUAAUCGGGGCAGGGUGAGUCGACCCCUAAGGCGAGGCCGAAAGGCGUAGUCGAUGGGAAACAGGUUAAUAUUCCUGUACUUGGUGUUACUGCGAAGGGGGGACGGAGAAGGCUAUGUUGGCCGGGCGACGGUUGUCCCGGUUUAAGCGUGUAGGCUGGUUUUCCAGGCAAAUCCGGAAAACCAAGGCUGAGGCGUGAUGACGAGGCACUACGGUGCUGAAGCGACAAAUGCCCUGCUUCCAGGAAAAGCCUCUAAGCAUCAGGUAACAUCAAAUCGUACCCCAAACCGACACAGGUGGUCAGGUAGAGAAUACCAAGGCGCUUGAGAGAACUCGGGUGAAGGAACUAGGCAAAAUGGUGCCGUAACUUCGGGAGAAGGCACGCUGAUAUGUAGGUGAAGCGACUUGCUCGUGGAGCUGAAAUCAGUCGAAGAUACCAGCUGGCUGCAACUGUUUAUUAAAAACACAGCACUGUGCAAACACGAAAGUGGACGUAUACGGUGUGACGCCUGCCCGGUGCCGGAAGGUUAAUUGAUGGGGUUAGCGGCAACGCGAAGCUCUUGAUCGAAGCCCCGGUAAACGGCGGCCGUAACUAUAACGGUCCUAAGGUAGCGAAAUUCCUUGUCGGGUAAGUUCCGACCUGCACGAAUGGCGUAAUGAUGGCCAGGCUGUCUCCACCCGAGACUCAGUGAAAUUGAACUCGCUGUGAAGAUGCAGUGUACCCGCGGCAAGACGGAAAGACCCCGUGAACCUUUACUAUAGCUUGACACUGAACAUUGAGCCUUGAUGUGUAGGAUAGGUGGGAGGCUUUUGAAGUGUGGACGCCAGUCUGCAUGGAGCCGACCUUGAAAUACCACCCUUUAAUGUUUGAUGUUCUAACGUUGGCCCGUAAUCCGGGUUGCGGACAGUGUCUGGUGGGUAGUUUGACUGGGGCGGUCUCCUCCUAAAGAGUAACGGAGGAGCACGAAGGUUGGCUAAUCCUGGUCGGACAUCAGGAGGUUAGUGCAAUGGCAUAAGCCAGCUUGACUGCGAGCGUGACGGCGCGAGCAGGUGCGAAAGCAGGUCAUAGUGAUCCGGUGGUUCUGAAUGGAAGGGCCAUCGCUCAACGGAUAAAAGGUACUCCGGGGAUAACAGGCUGAUACCGCCCAAGAGUUCAUAUCGACGGCGGUGUUUGGCACCUCGAUGUCGGCUCAUCACAUCCUGGGGCUGAAGUAGGUCCCAAGGGUAUGGCUGUUCGCCAUUUAAAGUGGUACGCGAGCUGGGUUUAGAACGUCGUGAGACAGUUCGGUCCCUAUCUGCCGUGGGCGCUGGAGAACUGAGGGGGGCUGCUCCUAGUACGAGAGGACCGGAGUGGACGCAUCACUGGUGUUCGGGUUGUCAUGCCAAUGGCACUGCCCGGUAGCUAAAUGCGGAAGAGAUAAGUGCUGAAAGCAUCUAAGCACGAAACUUGCCCCGAGAUGAGUUCUCCCUGACUCCUUGAGGGUCCUGAAGGAACGUUGAAGACGACGACGUUGAUAGGCCGGGUGUGUAAGCGCAGCGAUGCGUUGAGCUAACCGGUACUAAUGAACCGUGAGGCUUAACCUUACAACGCCGAAG
rnacentral:rRNA from 1 species